CAUGCAAGUCGCGCGGUAGCACAGAGAGCUUGCUCUCGGGUGACGAGCGGCGGACGGGUGAGUAAUGUCUGGGAAACUGCCUGAUGGAGGGGGAUAACUACUGGAAACGGUAGCUAAUACCGCAUAAUGUCGCAAGACCAAAGUGGGGGACCUUCGGGCCUCAUGCCAUCAGAUGUGCCCAGAUGGGAUUAGCUAGUAGGUGGGGUAACGGCUCACCUAGGCGACGAUCCCUAGCUGGUCUGAGAGGAUGACCAG
rnacentral:rRNA from 1 species